rnacentral:tRNA from 1 species
AGCCCGGUAGUGUAGCGGUCAAGCAUAGAGGCCUUUGAAGCCUUUGACCCCAGUUCGAGUCUGGGCCGGGCUACC